GAUGAAGAACGCAGCGAAAUGCGAUACGUAAUGUGAAUUGCAAAUUCAGUGAAUCAUCGAGUCUUUGAACGCACAUUGCGCCCCCUGGUAUUCCGGGGGGCAUGCCUGUCCGAGCGUCAUUGCUGCCCUCAAGCACGGCUUGUGUGUUGGGCCCCGUCCUCCGAUCCCGGGGGACGGGCCCGAAAGGCAGCGGCGGCACCGCGUCCGGUCCUCGAGCGUAUGGGGCUUUGUCACCCGCUCUGUAGGCCCGGCCGGCGCUUGCCGAUCAACCCAAAUUUUUUAUCCAGGUUGACCUCGGAUCAGGUAGGGAUACCGCUGAACUUAAGCAUAUCAAUAAGCGGAGGA
rnacentral:misc_RNA from 1 species